rnacentral:lncRNA from 1 species
AGUUUAAUUGUGUGUCUUGUAUUUUUAUUUGCUAAAUCUGAGAACCCUACUAAGGCUCCUUCACAAACCAAUUAAAUCAGAGUCUCCUGGGGUGGGGCCCGGGCAUAAGAAAUUUUAUAAAUGCUCCCCAGGUGAUUCUGCUGUUGGCAUUGGUUGAAAACUGCUGCCAAAGAGCCUCACUCUCAUUUAGAGUCACUUCCCUCAUACUCACCGAGCCCUCCUAUGCCCUCCUCAACGUACAUCCUGCAAACGUCUGUAAAGAAUGCUGUCUCUCCCAUCAACCCAGCCGCAUCCAAAUUGGUAUCACCUUUUCAUUAAUUCAGGACCCAAGGGAAGGGCAAGGCAAGGAUGCACAGGUGGCGAUGCCCAGGACACACUGCAGACCACUGGGCGAGCUCGUCUUCAUCGUCAGAGUUGCAAUGUUUUAAAAUAGUCCCUGCCUCAAGUACUUCCAUCAUAGAAGAGAGGAUAAAAUAGGCCCCCUGAACUAACCCACCCCUUCCUUCUUCCAGGUCUAUCUACUUGUAAAGAACUGCUGGGAGGAAGAUCCAGAAAAGAGACCAGAUUUCAAGAAAAUUGAGAAUACGCUGGCCAAGAUAUUUGGACUAUUUCAUGACCAAAAAAACGAAAGCUAUAUGGACACCUUGAUCCGCCGUCUACAGCUAUAUUCCCGAAACCUGGAGCAUCUGGUGGAGGAGAGGACACAGCUGUACAAAGCAGAGAGGGACAGAGCCGACAGACUCAACUUCAUGUUGCUCCCAAGGGUGUCAUCAUCAAUGGUCUUCACGAGUAAUGUCACUCAAAUGGUUUGAAACAGCUGGUUUACCAUCUCAGAUUUUUUUUACCCUUGGUUCAAUGUGCCAAUUUGACCAAUAGAUGGUAAAUGUUUUUACUGGAUUGUCAAAGCUUUUAGAACACAAAUCUUUUCCAUAGCUGUGUCGGGGUGGGGAAAAAUCCCCUUUCUUCCCUUCUUGUGUUCCUAUGGCUGGACUAAUAAUAAAAUUGACACAAGACUGGAUUAACAGGAGAAAAAAACAGUUUAAUAUAUACGUAUUGGAGAUCAUAAGGAAAUG